AUCUCUUCGGAGUGAAUUUAAGUGGAUUAGUGGCGGACGGGUGAGUAACACGUGAGUAACCUGCCUUAGACAUUGGGAUAGCCUCGGGAAACCGGGAUUAAUACCAAAUGAAAUCACAUAUGCACAUGCAUAAAUGAUCAAAGCUCCGGCGGUCUAAGAUGGACUCGCGUCCCAUUAGCUAGUUGGUGAGGUAACGGCCCACCAAGGCGACGAUGGGUAGCCGGCCUGAGAGGGUGAACGGCCACAUUGGAACUGAGAAACGGUCCAAACUCCUACGGGAGGCAGCAGUGGGGAAUAUUGCACAAUGGAGGGAACUCUGAUGCAGCGACGCCGCGUGAACGAUGAAGGCUUUCGAGUCGUAAAGUUCUUUUAUAUGGGAAGAUAAUGACGGUACCAUAAGAAAAAGCCCCGGCUAACUACGUGCCAGCAGCCGCGGUAAUACGUAGGGGGCUAGCGUUGUCCGGAAUCACUGGGCGUAAAGGGUUCGCAGGCGGAAAUGCAAGUCAGAUGUAAAAGGCAGUAGCUUAACUACUGUAAGCAUUUGAAACUGCAUAUCUUGAGAAGAGUAGAGGUAAGUGGAAUUUUUAGUGUAGCGGUGAAAUGCGUAGAUAUUAAAAAGAAUACCGGUGGCGAAGGCGACUUACUGGGCUCAUUCUGACGCUGAGGAACGAAAGCGUGGGUAGCAAACAGGAUUAGAUACCCUGGUAGUCCACGCUGUAAACGAUGAGUGCUAGGUAUCGGAAUAAUUCGGUGCCGCAGUUACACAUUAAGCACUCCGCCUGGGGAGUACGUGCGCAAGC
rnacentral:rRNA from 1 species